rnacentral:rRNA from 1 species
UACGUAGGGCGCAAGCGUUGUCCGGAAUUAUUGGGCGUAAAGAGCUCGUAGGCGGUCUGUUGCGUCCGCUGUGAAAACUCGGGGCUUAACCCCGAGCCUGCAGUGGAUACGGGCAGACUAGAGGUAGGUAGGGGAGACUGGAAUUCCUGGUGUAGCGGUGAAAUGCGCAGAUAUCAGGAGGAACACCGAUGGCGAAGGCAGGUCUCUGGGCCGCUACUGACGCUGAGAAGCGAAAGCAUGGGGAGCGAACAGG